rnacentral:rRNA from 1 species
UACGAAGGGGGCGAGCGUUGUUCGGAAUUACUGGGCGUAAAGGGCGCGUAGGCGGCCGAUCAAGUUAGAUGUGAAAGUCCUGGGCUUAACCUGGGGACUGCAUUUGAUACUGUAUUGGCUUGAAUUCGGGAGAGGAUAGCGGAAUUCCCAGUGUAGAGGUGAAAUUCGUAGAUAUUGGGAAGAACACCGGUGGCGAAGGCGGCUAUCUGGACCGACAUUGACG